CCCCGCCCAGGCCAUGGCCCCCCUCCCCGUGGCCUGAGGGUGCUGCCGUCUGCAGGUCUCUAUCUGGAGCCCAAGCUGCUGGAACACACGGUCUCCCCAUCUGCAGCCGACGUGCUGGUGACCAGGUGCAUGUCCAGGACCUCCGUGACCCCGUUCCUGCUGCCAGCCCCUGACCCUGUGCCCCUCGAGUCGGAGGCAGCUGCUGAGGAGGGUGCAGUGGGGCCCCCUGAGCCCAGCCCUGGGACAGCCCAACCCCUAAGGAGGGACCUGGGCAAGGUGCCCAAAUGGCUAAAGCUGCCAGCCAGCAGGAGGUGAGAGCCGCCAGCCGGAGGUGCCCACUUGGCCGGGGACGGGACCCUCCUCCUCACCCUGCGUGCGAAUAAAGCCUGAGCACCUCCUGAGACCCUCCUGUUCCUUCUCCAGAAAGGGCGCCGUGGUCCUUGCCCGGCCGCCGUCUGACGCUGCCGCCUGUCCAGGCUUCCGGGCACUGGCCUCCAGCUCUGGGACUGGCCAGUCCCCAGCCUGGCUGGACCUCGGUGUGUGGUCCCCUUGCUGGGCCUGUUCUCAUUACGCAGCUGCUCCUAGCGGCUUUGCCUCA